rnacentral:misc_RNA from 1 species
UACAUAGGGUGCAAGCGUUGUCCGGAAUUAUUGGGCGUAAAGAGCUCGUAGGUGGUUAGUUACGUCGGAUGUGAAAAUCUAGGGCUCAACCCUAGACCUGCAUCCGAUACGGGCUAGCUUGAGUUUGGUAGGGGAGACUGGAAUUCCUGGUGUAGCGGUGGAAUGCGCAGAUAUCAGGAGGAACACCAAUGGCGAAGGCAGGUCUCUGGGCCAAUACUGACACUGAGGAGCGAAAGUGUGGGGAGUGAACAGG